CGUAGUGACUGCGGAGGAUCAUUACCGAGUGAGGGCCCUCUGGGUCCAACCUCCCACCCGUGUUUAUUUUACCUUGUUGCUUCGGCGGGCCCGCCUUAACUGGCCGCCGGGGGGCUUACGCCCCCGGGCCCGCGCCCGCCGAAGACACCCUCGAACUCUGUCUGAAGAUUGAAGUCUGAGUGAAAAUAUAAAUUAUUUAAAACUUUCAACAACGGAUCUCUUGGUUCCGGCAUCGAUGAAGAACGCAGCGAAAUGCGAUACGUAAUGUGAAUUGCAAAUUCAGUGAAUCAUCGAGUCUUUGAACGCACAUUGCGCCCCCUGGUAUUCCGGGGGGCAUGCCUGUCCGAGCGUCAUUGCUGCCCUCAAGCCCGGCUUGUGUGUUGGGCCCCGUCCCCCGAUCUCCGGGGGACGGGCCCGAAAGGCAGCGGCGGCACCGCGUCCGGUCCUCGAGCGUAUGGGGCUUUGUCACCCGCUCUGUAGGCCCGGCCGGCGCUUGCCGAUCAACCCAAAUUUUUAUCCAGGUUGACCUCGGAUCAGGUAGGGAUACCCGCUGAACUUAAGCAUAUCAAUA
rnacentral:rRNA from 1 species